rnacentral:rRNA from 1 species
CACGUAGGGCGCAAGCGUUGUCCGGAAUUAUUGGCGUAAAGGGCUCGUAGGCGGUUCGUCACGUCGGGAGUGAAAACUCGGAGCUUAACUCCGAGCCUGCUUCCGAUACGGGCAAACUAGAGUACUGCAGGGGAGACUGGAAUUCCUGGUGUAGCGGUGAAAUGCGCAGAUAUCAGGAGGAACACCGGUGGCGAAGGCGGGUCUCUGGGCAGUAACUGACGCUGAGGAGCGAAAGCGUGGGGAGCGAACAGG